GAUGAAGAACGCAGCGAAAUGCGAUAAGUAAUGUGAAUUGCAGAAUUCAGUGAAUCAUCGAAUCUUUGAACGCACAUUGCGCCCCCUGGUAUUCCGGGGGGCAUGCCUGUCCGAGCGUCAUUACAACCCUCAAGCUCAGCUUGGUGUUGGGCCCCGCCGUCCCGGCGGGCCCUAAAGUCAGUGGCGGUGCCGUCCGGCUCCGAGCGUAGUAAUUCUUCUCGCUCUGGAGGUCCGGUCGUGUGCUCGCCAGCAACCCCCAAUUUUUUCAGGUUGACCUCGGAUCAGGUAGGGAUACCCGCUGAACUUAAGCAUAUCAAUAAGCGGAGGA
rnacentral:misc_RNA from 1 species